UACGUAGGGAGCGAGCGUUGUCCGAAGUUACUGGGCGUAAAGCGCGCGUAGGCGGGCUAUUAAGUGAGAAGUGAAAGGCUGGGCUCAACCUCAUGCAGUGCUUCUCAAUACUGGUAUCUUGAGGACGGUAGAGAGAAGUGGAAUGGCUGGUGUAGCGGUGAAAUGCGUAGAUAUCAGUCGGAACACCGGUGGCGAAGGCGGCUUCUUGGGCCGUUCCUGACGCUGAGGCGGCGAAAGCAG
rnacentral:rRNA from 1 species